rnacentral:rRNA from 1 species
GACGAACGCUGGCGGCGUGCUUAACACAUGCAAGUCGAACGAAGUGGCGAACGGGUGAGUAAUACGUGAGUAACCUGCCCUCCUUUUUGGGAUAAGCCUUGGAAACGGGGUCUAAUACCGAAUAAAGGGGGAUUGGCUCGCGGCCUAUCAGCUUGGUGGGGGGGUGAUGGCCUACCAAGGCGGUGACGGGUAGGCGGCCUGAGAGGGUGACCGGCCACAGUGGGACUGAGGUACGGCCCAGACUCCUACGGGGGGCAGCAGUGGGGGAUAUUGCACAAUGGGCGAAAGCCUGAGGCAGCGACGCCGGGUGGGGGAUGCAGGCUUUCGGGUUGUAAACCGCUUUAAGCCAUGACGCGGUAGUGGCAGAAGAAGCACCGGCUAACUACGUGCCAGCCGCCGCGGUAAUAC